GUUCUGGUUUCUCUUCGGAGUCUAUAAAUCUUUUGCCUUUUACUAAAGACUUCCAUGGAAAGGAAAAAUUGUAAGAUACUCACUUGAGUUGCUAUUAAAAAGUAAUAACGUAUUUUA